rnacentral:rRNA from 1 species
UACAGAGGGUGCAAGCGUUAAUCGGAAUUACUGGGCGUAAAGGGCGCGUAGGCGGUUCUAUAAGUUGGGUGUGAAAUCCCUGGGCUUAACCUAGGAAUGGCAACUGAAACUGUAGAGCUGGAGUGCUGUAGAGGGUAGUGGAAUUUCCGGUGUAGCGGUGAAAUGCGUAGAUAUCGGAAGGAACACCAGUGGCGAAGGCGGCUACCUGGACAGACACUGACGCUGAGGCGCGAGAGCGUGGGGAGCAAACAGG